rnacentral:rRNA from 1 species
CACGUAGGGGGCAAGCGUUGUCCGGAUUUAUUGGGCGUAAAGCGCGUGUAGGCGGCCAGAAAAGUCCGCUGUGAAAACUCGAGGCUCAACUUCGAGCUGUCGGUGGAAACUUUCUGGCUAGAGUCCGGAAGAGGAGAAUGGAGUUCCUGGUGUAGCGGUGAAAUGCGCAGAUAUCAGGAGGAACACCGGUGGCGAAGGCGGGUCUCUGGGCCGAUACUGACGCUGAGGAGCGAAAGCGUGGGGAGCGAACAGG